UAAGAAAAACAAAAUCUCCCGGGAUUCAAAUGUAAGCACCCACGUAGGUAAAUAAAAUUAUAGGAAUUGAAAUUUACAAAUCGUCAACAUUGCAUGGCUUGCAUACAAAUAGUUAUACCCAAAUACAAUAAUACAAAUAUUGGUCGGAUGGUUGUAGGAAUAUUAUUCCCUCUCAUUUCACGCUCGUAGGGCUGAAUAUAAAAGUAGCGCAUGGGGUGGGGGUGUCACCAUCAUAACUUGAACAUUUAUACUGAGUACUGAGUCGGCAAUUUAAUAAUAGUUUAAUUUAAAAUUGACCAAGUCUAAUUUUUGUUUUGUAUAAUUUCAUACAUGGUUAUCGACAAAUUUAAUACUUAUAAAAGGAUAAAAUAAUGAUGAGCAAAUCAUUUUUUUAGGACGAUAAAUUUAGUGCUUGGAGUUAGAAAAUAUUUAAUCAAAUACCUACAUGAGGGAUUUCUGUUAACGCCGGGUUUGCAGUUUUAUUCUUUGAGAGCGAAGUCUGAUUGUUGUAAACAUUACGUGAUGGCAUAAACUCGAAAAAUGAAAAAAAAAUACCCGACACCUUCUCGUAACCCAAUAUGAUAAUAUCG